AGAAUCAACGCUGGCGGCGUGCCUAACACAUGCAAGUCGAACGAGAAAGUGGUAGCAAUACCAUGAGUAAAGUGGCGCACGGGUGAGUAACACGUGACUAACCUACCCUGGAGUGGGGGAUAACUGGGAGAAAUCCUAGCUAAUACCGCAUAAUACCUACGGGUCAAAGGAGCAAUUCGCUUCAGGAGGGGGUCGCGGCCGAUUAGUUAGUUGGCGGGGUAAUGGCCCACCAAGACGAUGAUCGGUA
rnacentral:rRNA from 1 species